rnacentral:rRNA from 1 species
UACGGAGGGGGCUAGCGUUGUUCGGAAUUACUGGGCGUAAAGCGCACGUAGGCGGCUUUGUAAGUUAGAGGUGAAAGCCCGGGGCUCAACUCCGGAAUUGCCUUUAAGACUGCAUCGCUAGAAUUGUGGAGAGGUAAGUGGAAUUCCGAGUGUAGAGGUGAAAUUCGUAGAUAUCGCAAGAACACCGGUGGCGAAGGCGGCCAACUGGACCAUUACUGGACGCUGAGGCGCGAAAGCGUGGGGAGCAAACAGG